AUGUCCUCCAUAUAUACACUGGAGUACUAUGCCUCUGUUAGAAAGGACGAAUACCCAACUUUUGUAUCAACAUGGACGGGACUGGAGGAGAUUAUGCUGAGCGAAAUAAGUCAAGCAGAGAGAGUCAAUAUCAUAUGGUUUCACUUACUUGUGGA